GAUGAACGCUGGCGGCGUGCCUAAUACAUGCAAGUCGAGCGAACAGACGAGGAGCUUGCUCCUCUGACGUUAGCGGCGGACGGGUGAGUAACACGUGGAUAACCUACCUAUAAGACUGGGAUAACUUCGGGAAACCGGAGCUAAUACCGGAUAAUAUAUUGAACCGCAUGGUUCAAUAGUGAAAGACGGUUUUGCUGUCACUUAUAGAUGGAUCCGCGCCGCAUUAGCUAGUUGGUAAGGUAACGGCUUACCAAAGCAACGAUGCGUAGCCGACCUGAGAGAGUGAUAGGCCACACGGGAACUGAGACACGGUCAAGACUCCUACGGGAGGCAGCAGUAGGGAAUCUUCCGCAAUGGGCGAAAGCCUGACGGAGCAACGCCGCGUGAGUGAUGAAGGUCUUCGGAUCGUAAAACUCUGUUAUUAGGGAAGAACAAAUGUGUAAGUAACUAUGCACGUCUUGACGGUACCUAAUCAGAAAGCCACGGCUAACUACGUG
rnacentral:rRNA from 1 species